rnacentral:rRNA from 1 species
UACGGAGGGGGCAAGCGUUGUCCGGAAUUACUGGGCGUAAAGGGCGCGUAGGCGGCCGCUUAAGUCAGACGUGAAAUCCCUCGGCUCAACCGGGGAACUGCGUCUGAUACUGGUUGGCUUGAAUCCGGGAGAGGGAUGCGGAAUUCCAGGUGUAGCGGUGAAAUGCGUAGAUAUCGGGAGGAACAUCCGUGGCGAAGGCGGCCACCUGGACCGGCACUGACGCUGAGGCGCGAAAGCGUGGGGAGCAAACAGG